rnacentral:rRNA from 1 species
CCUAGGGGGGGCAGCAGUGGGGAAUAUUGGACAAUGGGCGAAAGCCUGAUCCAGCCAUGCCGCGUGUGUGAAGAAGGCCUUCGGGUUGUAAAGCACUUUCAGUGGGGAAGAAAGCCUUGGGGCUAAUACCCUCGAGGAAGGACAUCACCCACAGAAGAAGCACCGGCUAACUCCGUGCCAGCAGCCGCGGUAAUACGGAGGGUGCGAGCGUUAAUCGGAAUUACUGGGCGUAAAGCGCGCGUAGGCGGUCUGAUAAGCCGGUUGUGAAAGCCCCGGGCUCAACCUGGGAACGGCAUCCGGAACUGUCAGGCUAGAGUGCAGGAGAGGAAGGUAGAAUUCCCGGUGUAGCGGUGAAAUGCGUAGAGAUCGGGAGGAAUACCAGUGGCGAAGGCGGCCUUCUGGACUGACACUGACGCUGAGGUGCGAAAGCGUGGGUAGCAAACAGGAUUAGAUACCCCUGUAGUC